rnacentral:lncRNA from 1 species
CAGUACCACGAAAAAAGCGUGAAGAUCUAAGAUAUCGCUGGAAACUUAGUAGCCUUCUGAUAUUCCUUGCAGAGACAGACACUUCAAUUUCAGAUUGAGCUGAAAUAAAAAGAAUAAAAGAGCCCUGAAGUUAAGAUUCAUUAUCAAGAGUUCUAUUUUGACCAAGUUAAGCUGCAAAUGAGUAUUAGAUAUUGACUCACAAGGAAAUGAUCACUCAUCAUGGAAGCCCAAUGCCUUCUAAGAUUAAUCUCAUAAAGAAACCUACAUAACAGGAUAAGAAAUGGACCUUCACUUAAUGAUAUAGGACCACCCUUAUCAAUUACUGAUUAUGUCACAGACAAAUUAAGAAAGGACAUGGAGCCUGUCUAGAUGAAAUGGAAGAUCAUUCAAGGAAAAGUGUUUUCUUCACCUACAGGGUCUGAGGGCCUCAUACAGGAAGCCUACACGUAACAAGAUUAUAUUCUGGUAAAGAAUGAAAAUCCCACGAGACUUUGCAGAGAUGCCAACUAAAACUACCUCAAAGUUUUGUCUAAGAUUUAAUAGAGGACCAGAACUUUCGGGGGAUGUCUGGUUUGAUUUUUUUCAUUAAUCUAAUCUUUGAAUAUGUAAUGCAUUCACGUUUCAAAAACAAGAAGGGAGGGAAGAAAGAAAAUAACAGUGAAUGAUUCAACCCUCUAUGUGUCCCCUUAUACAACCACUCUCAAGCCCUACCCCAAAAUG